rnacentral:rRNA from 1 species
GGUUAAGUGGGAAACGAUGUGGGAAGGCCCAGACAGCCAGGAUGUUGGCUUAGAAGCAGCCAUCAUUUAAAGAAAGCGUAAUAGCUCACUGGUCGAGUCGGCCUGCGCGGAAGAUGUAACGGGGCUAAACCAUGCACCGAAGCUGCGGCAGCGACACUCAGGUGUUGUUGGGUAGGGGAGCGUUCUGUAAGCCUGCGAAGGUGGCCUGUGAGGGUUGCUGGAGGUAUCAGAAGUGCGAAUGCUGACAUAAGUAACGAUAAAGCGGGUGAAAAGCCCGCUCGCCGGAAGACCAAGGGUUCCUGUCCAACGUUAAUCGGGGCAGGGUGAGUCGACCCCUAAGGCGAGGCCGAAAGGCGUAGUCGAUGGGAAACGGGUUAAUAUUCCCGUACUUGGUGUUACUGCGAAGGGGGGACGGAGAAGGCUAUGUUGGCCGGGCGACGGUUGUCCCGGUUUAAGCGUGUAGGUGUGUGUUCCAGGUAAAUCCGGUUCACUUUAACACUGAGGCGUGAUGACGAGGCACUACGGUGCUGAAGCAACAAAUGCCCUGCUUCCAGGAAAAGCCUCUAAGCAUCAGGUAACAUCAAAUCGUACCCCAAACCGACACAGGUGGUCAGGUAGAGAAUACCAAGGCGCUUGAGAGAACUCGGGUGAAGGAACUAGGCAAAAUGGUGCCGUAACUUCGGGAGAAGGCACGCUGACACGUAGGUGAAGUGAUUUACUCAUGGAGCUGAAGUCAGUCGAAGAUACCAGCUGGCUGCAACUGUUUAUUAAAAACACAGCACUGUGCAAACACGAAAGUGGACGUAUACGGUGUGACGCCUGCCCGGUGCCGGAAGGUUAAUUGAUGGGGUCAGCGCAAGCGAAGCUCCUGAUCGAAGCCCCGGUAAACGGCGGCCGUAACUAUAACGGUCCUAAGGUAGCGAAAUUCCUUGUCGGGUAAGUUCCGACCUGCACGAAUGGCGUAAUGAUGGCCAGGCUGUCUCCACCCGAGACUCAGUGAAAUUGAACUCGCUGUGAAGAUGCAGUGUACCCGCGGCAAGACGGAAAGACCCCGUGAACCUUUACUAUAGCUUGACACUGAACAUUGAGCCUUGAUGUGUAGGAUAGGUGGGAGGCUUUGAAGUGUGGACGCCAGUCUGCAUGGAGCCGGCCUUGAAAUACCACCCUUUAAUGUUUGAUGUUCUAACGUGGACCCGUGAUCCGGGUUGCGGACAGUGUCUGGUGGGUAGUUUGACUGGGGCGGUCUCCUCCUAAAGAGUAACGGAGGAGCACGAAGGUUGGCUAAUCCUGGUCGGACAUCAGGAGGUUAGUGCAAUGGCAUAAGCCAGCUUGACUGCGAGCGUGACGGCGCGAGCAGGUGCGAAAGCAGGUCAUAGUGAUCCGGUGGUUCUGAAUGGAAGGGCCAUCGCUCAACGGAUAAAAGGUACUCCGGGGAUAACAGGCUGAUACCGCCCAAGAGUUCAUAUCGACGGCGGUGUUUGGCACCUCGAUGUCGGCUCAUCACAUCCUGGGGCUGAAGUAGGUCCCAAGGGUAUGGCUGUUCGCCAUUUAAAGUGGUACGCGAGCUGGGUUUAGAACGUCGUGAGACAGUUCGGUCCCUAUCUGCCGUGGGCGCUGGAGAACUGAGGGGGGCUGCUCCUAGUACGAGAGGACCGGAGUGGACGCAUCACUGGUGUUCGGGUUGUCAUGCCAAUGGCACUGCCCGGUAGCUAAAUGCGGAAGAGAUAAGUGCUGAAAGCAUCUAAGCACGAAACUUGCCCCGAGAUGAGUUCUCCCUGAGACUUUAGGUCUCCUGAAGGAACGUUGAAGACGACGACGUUGAUAGGCCGGGUGUGUAAGCGCAGCGAUGCGUUGAGCUAACCGGUACUAAUGAACCGUGAGGCUUAACCUUACA